CGGAGAGGAAAUAACGAAGUAUGAUUGUCCCUCCGACUGCCCAUCCCCAUCCUGGAGUUAAAUAUGUACCCACCUGCUCUAUGAUAAAUGCAUGCACAAGUUUGUGUGGUUGGUGUCUCUCAUAUCUUUAAAAAAAUUUUUUUUAAUGUUUAUUUUUGAGAGAGAGAGAGAGGGUGUAGGCGGGAGGAGGGACAGAGAACGAGGGAGACACAGAAUCUGAAGCAGGCUCCAGGCUCUGAGCUGUCAGCCCAGAGCCCGGCAUGGGGCUCGAACCCACAGACUGCGAGAUCAUGACCUUGGACGCCUAACCAACCGAGCCACCCAGGCGCCCUCUCCUACCCCUUCUAGAGAGACUUUGCAGAAGGUGUGUUGAUGGAGCUUGUUUGUUUAGCUGUUUAUUUUUGGCCCAUCAGCUGGAAGGUCAGCACGCUCCAUUUUCUUACUUAGACUCUGCCCCAGUUAGAGCUACAGUGGACUUAAAUAGCCAGGCACUGUGCCGGUUCCAGAAUGUGGUGGGGAGCACGGAGACACCCUCAGUAGCUUACCACCUGUUGAGGGACUGGACCAGCCAACAGGGAUUAGACAUCUCAUGACCGAUGCUGAGAUGAGGAGGAACAAGGGCUGAUGGAGCCCGGAGGAGAGGGGCCCCCUCUGGGUGUGGGGGUCAAGGAAGCUUCCCAGGAAGAAACUACUGAAGGGGAAAGCGGUAGGAGCCCCGGGGUGCUUCGGGCACCAGGAAUGGCACGUGGCAAGGAUCUAGACAAAGCUCGGCAUGGUCACCACACGCCGCCGGAGCAGGUCACAUCGUCUGGGCCUUCUCUGUCACGUCGAAGAGCGUGGACUUCAUGCUGGAGACUCUCGGCCGAUGGGCUCGGAAAAGCUGCCUUAGCAACCAGGAUUUUCACGCCUUUGCCCUUAAAAUGCCUUUGAUCGCUGUCCCAAAAGUUCUACUUUCCCAGAUGAGGAGCCAGGAAUCUGGGUCUUCGGGACUUUGGUCUGGCUGACACCCUCCUGACCUGUCUCUGUGUUGAAGACGACUUCUUAUUUCCCACCAAGAACAGUUGAUCUCCUGAGCAUUUCUUCAUUCCUGCCAAGGACUCAAGACCACAGUGUAUCAUACACAAGGUACUGUGCUAAGGGCUAUACAUGCAACUUCCAAUUUAAUUCUCACAACCUUUGAGGUAGUACUUUUUUUUUAAUGUUUAUUUGUUUAUUUUUGAGAGAGAGAGAGACAGAGAGACAGAGACAGACAGAGAGAGAAGGAGAGAGAAUCCCAAGCAGGCCCCAUGCUGUCAGCACAGAGCCCGACUUGGGGCUCAAACUCACAAACUGUGAGAUUAUGACCUGAGCCAAGAUCAAGAGUCAGGUGUUUAAGUGACUGAGCCACCCAGGUGCUCCAAGGUAGCAUUAUUAUUAUCACCCAUUUUAGAGCCAAGGAAAUGGAAGCUCAGAAAGGACGAAUAACUUGUCCAAGGUCACACUUUUUUGAGUAAAAGGUGGAGCAAGGGUUCUAAAUGAGGCCAAUCUGAUCAUGAGCUCUUAACAACUGCAGCUAUAGACGAUGACACUAGUAACUGCUGUCCAGGAGGUUGUGCUGGGAUUAUUAGUGAAGGUGAAAAGUACACCAUAACCUCUAAUGUGCUAGGCAAAUGAAAGGGUAUAAUAAUGUAUAACAACAUAGACAGGAGGAACUAUGGGAGGAAGUAGGCUUGUGUUCAAAUUCUAGGCCAUCCCUUAUUGACCCCGUUUUUUUUAAUGUUUAAGCCUUCUCUGAAAAAUAUUGACAUAAAGGUAGUGUAUGUCAAUUGUGUUUUUUUUGAUGUUUAUUCAUUUAUUUUGAGAGAGAGAGAGAGAGAGAGAGAAGAGAGAGAGAGAGAGAGAGAGAAGGAACAAAAACCAGGGAGGGGCAGAGAGAGAGAGAGAGGGAGAGACAGACAGACAGAGAAAGAGACAGAGAGAGACAGAGAGAAUCCCAAGCAAGUUCAGCACCGUCAGCACAGAGCCCAAGGCGGGGCUCAAUCCCACAAACCGUGAGAUCAUGACCUGAGCCAAAAUCAACAGUCGGACCGACUCAACUGACUGAGCCAUCCAGGUGCCCCCUGCUUAUUGACCUUCUCUCACUUAAGCAAUGUUGGGCAUAUCGUUGAAUGUUUCCAAGCCUCCAUUUCUUUCUCUGUAAAACAGAGAAAUCUGAUGGGGUUAUGUGACAAAUGUGGUAGCUUGGGGGAAGCCCUUAAAACAAUGUCCGGCACAUAAUCGACAAUAAAUAAAUAAAACUCUAUAAUGUGAACUCA
ensembl:lncRNA